GGGGUCAUAGCUCAGCUGGGAGAGCAGUAGACUGAAGAAUUCCAUUUCUUGAAGCAGCGUUUCAAUUCCGCCUUCUGAAGGCCCCGUGUUCAAUCCACGGUGACCCCA